rnacentral:rRNA from 1 species
AACGAACGCUGGCGGCAGGCUUAACACAUGCAAGUCGAGCGCCCCGCAAGGGGAGCGGCAGACGGGUGAGUAACGCGUGGGAAUCUACCCAUCUCUACGGAAUAACGCAGGGAAACGUGUGCUAAUACCGUAUACGCUCUUCGGGAGAAAGAUUUAUCGGAGGUGGAUGAGCCCGCGUUGGAUUAGCUAGUUGGUGGGGUAAAGGCCUACCAAGGCGACGAUCCAUAGCUGGUCUGAGAGGAUGAUCAGCCACACUGGGACUGAGACACGGCCCAGACUCCUACGGAAGGCAGCAGUGGGGAAUAUUGGACAAUGGGCGCAAGCCUGAUCCAGCCAUGCCGCGUGAGUGAUGAAGGCCCUAGGGUUGUAAAGCUCUUUCACCGGUGAAGAUAAUGACGGUAACCGGAGAAGAAGCCCCGGCUAACUUCGUGCCAGCAGCCGCAGUAACAC